GGAAGAGCAGAAAGUGUCCUCCGUUGCUCGACUCGCUGCCAUCAGCAAACAAACACAUUCACUCAGAGAGGCGUAGGCGGGCGGGGUGAGGAGGAGCGCGGAUGGAUGCCGAAUCAGGACUGACUCUGGGAUCCGUGGGGGAAGCCUGACGUCGAGCGAAGCACCGCUGCACAGCCUCCAUUAGCCGGAGUGGCUGAAAGUCCAGGUGUGUGAAUUCACACCUGGACAGUGGGUUACCGCCUUCCUCGGCGCCGGGUGACUCUCACAGGAUCCAAGAAGUCAACUCCGAGAACGACCUGAGGCCUGGAGACCUGGUCCUGAUUAAGACAUUCCACAGGAAAGAUUGGAGCACUCCCCGUUGGGAAAGGUCUGUUCCAGGUGCUCCUGACAACGUCCACAGCUCUGAAAAUAGCAGAGAGGCCUUCCUGGAUCCAUAAAAGCCACUGUAAGCCAGUUUUGCCAUUGCAGGAGCCAGAUCAACUGACGGGGUAGCAGAGGAAGUCCGGGUUCAAAGGGACUGGAGGACCCAUAUACGUGCAACCCUCAUAAUUGUACCUGUCCCAAUUUCUGGAGAGCUUUCAAUAUUACAGAAGGAGAAAAAG